GCCGGCAAUGAUAGCACGUUGACUGUACCAGUUCCCAAUGGAUCACUGAUGUUAAGCAACGUUGGGUGUGGUUAGUAUCCGGAUGAGUGACCAUCUGGGCCAUCACGAACUGCUGGCU
rfam:Asian citrus Psyllid, Diaphorina citri - Florida Strain, whole genome shotgun sequence.